rnacentral:rRNA from 1 species
AUCGAACGCUGGCGGCAGGCCUAACACAUGCAAGUCGAACGAUAACAGCAAGCAGCUUGCUGCUUCGCUGACGAAUGCCUGACAGGUUAGUAAUGUCUGGGAAACUACCCGAUGGAGGGGGAUCACUACUGGAAACGGUAGCUCAUACCGCAUAACUACGCCAGACCAAAGAGGGGGCCCUUAAGGACUCUUGCCAUCGGAUGUGCACAGAUGUGAUUAGCUAGUAGGUGGGGUAACGGCUCACCUAUGCGACGAUCCCUAGCUGGUCCGAGAGGAUGACCAGACACACUGGAAGAGAGACACGGUCCAGACUCUGACGGGAGGAAGCAGUGGAGAAUAUUGCACAAUGGGGGCAAGCCUGAUGCAGCCAUGCGGCGUGUAUGAAGAAGGACUACGGGUUGGAGAGUACUUACAGCGUUGGGGAAGGGAGUAAAGUUAACACCGUUGGUUAUUGACGUUACCCGGAGAAGAAGCACCGGCUAACUCCGUG